AUACGUAGGGAGCGAGCGUUGUCCGGAAUUACUGGGUGUAAAGGGAGCGUAGGCGGGACGGCAAGUCAGAUGUGAAAUACAUGGGCUCAACCCAUGGGCUGCAUUUGAAACUGCUGUUCUUGAGUGAAGUAGAGGUAAGCGGAAUUCCUGGUGUAGCGGUGAAAUGCGUAGAUAUCAGGAGGAACACCGGUGGCGAAGGCGGCUUACUGGGCUUUUACUGACGCUGAGGCUCGAAAGCGUGGGGAGCAAACAGGAUUAGAUACCCUGGUAGUCCACGUUGUAAACGAUGAAUACUAGGUGUGGGGGGACUGACCCCCUCCGUGCCGCAGUUAACACAAUAAGUAUUCCACCUGGGGAGUACGAUCGCGAGAUUGAAACUCAAAGGAAUUGACGGGG
rnacentral:rRNA from 1 species